rnacentral:rRNA from 1 species
ACAAUGGUUGGUACAACGAGUUGCGAGUCGGUGACGGCGAGCUAAUCUCUUAAAGCCAAUCUCAGUUCGGAUUGUAGGCUGCAACUCGCCUACAUGAAGUCGGAAUCGCUAGUAAUCGCGGAUCAGCACGCCGCGGUCGAAUACGUUCCCGGGCCUU